GCCCGCGCCGCGUCGCCGCAGCUGCUCCUUGCGGCGUGGACACCCGCCCUGCGCCCUCGGGGCCCUGGCACCCGGCGGCACCCGGCGGCACCCGGCGGCACCCGGCGGCAGCCGCGGACCCGCGCUCCUGGAACACGCGCCCCCCGUGGCCGCAGGUCGCCCCGCGUCGCGCCGUCCGCGGCCGGAACGCGGCGUCCCCUCAGGCCGCCUCAGGCCGCGACGAGCCGGGGGCGUCCCCCGCGGCCUCUCCCUGCUUCCCCCGCGCGGCCAGCACCCGGCGAGUCUCGGGAGAAGGCGGGGCGGUCCGAGAAGUCGUGAUUUAGGAGGAGGCCCCUCCGAAGUCGGGGGACACCACGACGACGACGACGACGACGGUGACGACACACGCUCCACCAGGGUUCCCUUCUGGUUCCCUUCUGCUUCGUGGCACCUGUGGUCCGGGGAGCCAGAACUCCGUCCUCUGCCUCAAAGAAGCAACUUGUGAUUGAGGCAGGUGCUUCUUUAGGGCGCUCACUGUCCUUGGGUCCGUUUUCUCAUUCACGCGCCCAAACUCUGAUUUUCACCGACCCAGGCCUUCCGGGAGAAGAGCUUUCAGUACCGCCCCCCCCCCCCCUCGGGAUAAGGUGACCUUUUUCACUGUUAGCAGCCGUAUUAAGCAGAUGCUUCCUAACAAUAUUCUUUAAAUAGCAGAGGCUAGGGACGACGGUUUAGGAAAGAACCACAAUAAUCUAACAGUUUGGUUUGUGAUCACAACUGCCCCCGCAAGAUUUUCGUGGUUUAAGAAUAUUUCCGUCAUGCCCAUCUCAUGGCGCCAUCCAGCUAAUUUCCAGCUCACUGGCUAAUGCGGAGGGCUGAGAAGGGAGGACAAGUAGCAAGGUUAUCUUGUUAACAAAAACAGAAUCAAACCAAAAUCCCACCCCUGAUCCUCUUCUCAGAGUACACCAGCGACAGAAAGUCCUCUGACGAAUAGGACAUUAGCGUUUCUGCAGGGAUGAGAGGCCAGGCUUCUGGAGGCACAGAGGAUGAUGGGCAGGGCAGAGGAAGGUCACUAAAUGUUUAUAGUUCAGGAGGCUGGUUUCAACACUGGAUGCAUUUUUCUUAAACGACCUUCAGCAUAAUAAAUGCCUUUCUAACAA